AUUCCUACGGGAGGCAGCAGUGGGGAAUAUUGGACAAUGGGGGCAAGCCUGAUCCAGCCAUGCCGCGUGGGUGAAGAAGGCCUUAGGGUUGUAAACCCCUUUCAGCGGGGAAGAUAAUGACGGUACCCGCAGAAGAAGUCCCGGCUAACUCCGUGCCAGCAGCCGCGGUAAUACGGAGGGGACUAGCGUUAAUCGGAAUUACUGGGCGUAAAGCGUGCGCAGGCGGUUUUGUAAGACAGGCGUGAAAUCCCCGGGCUCAACCUGGGAACUGCGCUUGUGACUGCAAGGCUAGAGUAUGGCAGAGGGGGGUGGAAUUCCACGUGUAGCAGUGAAAUGCGUAGAGAUGUGGAGGAACACCAAUGGCGAAGGCAGCCCCCUGGGCCAAUACUGACGCUCAUGCACGAAAGCGUGGGGAGCAAACAGGAUUAGAUACCCUGGUAGUCCACGCCGUAAACUAUGGAAGCUAGCCGUCAGUCAGCUUGCUGAGUGGUGGCGCAGCUAACGCAUUAAGCUUCCCGCCUGGGGAGUACGGUCGCAAGAUUAAAACUCAAAGGAAUUGACGGAAU
rnacentral:rRNA from 1 species